AAAAGCAUUAAUUGAGUAUUAUCAAUAUGAAUUGUCAAACUGCAUAUAUUGUAUCAAUAGAAAUACCAGGUUUACCAUGGACAAAGCCAAGAAAACCAACGAUGC